UCUCUUUUGUUUUUUUUUUGCUCGGGGGCCGUACACUAAGUUUCCGCUUUUGUAACGGCUUAUCGGAAUCGCCUCACUCUGCCUAGUGCAGUUACGCGCCAGCUUUUAUGGCAUGCGUGUGUAUUUGCUUCGUCCUGUGUGCCACGAUGUCAUGAUGACGUGUGUAUACGUGAGUUUCUUGACGACAUUCGAGUUGUUACUUCUGUGGACGACGUGAGGAAUUUUUCUGAAGACAACGAUCGCACAGAUUUUCAAUCGGAACAAGGACUAUCCAGCGCACGCUAUUUUGCGGAAGGAGGGCGAGAAAACCCGUGGAAGCUUCUUUCUGGAAGAUUCCCUACGAUGCAUUUCAGAUUGAUUGCAUGUGGCGUGAUAGGCACUGAGGAUAUCGCCAAGGCCUGCAGCGGACGAAAGCGGAUAGGAAAACCAUGAAGGCGCGAGCCGGAACGGCAACAAACGCGGAAUAAUUGCUUCAAGAGCAGAACGGAGGAAGGCGAAGAAACCAUAAAGAAAAUGAAGAGAGUCGCGACACUGAACGGCAAAUUAAAAUGUCUGAAAAAUAUUUAGAACCUGAUGAACUCAAUACCAAUAAGAAGUCUUUGAACACGAAGUUGUGCUACGGGCGCUCUGUGUUGUCCAAUGCUUUAAGUUCCAAUCUGUGGAAACCUCAGGCCCCGAGGUAACCGCAGGAACUCAAAUUCUCAUGUAACGUCAGGACCUCAAGCUCUGAGGUAAUCCCAGGACCUCAAGGUCUGAGGUAACCUCAGAACCUCAAGCUCUGCGACAAACUCAAGACCUCUGAUGUCCCAUUAUACCUCAAGGCCUCAGACUCUGAGGUAACCUCAGGAAAUAUUUUCAAUAGGGCCUGUAUACUUUUAAACCUAACUCGUCGCUUUUGGGUUCUGGUAACUUCUUGAAACACUAGUUCCUUGUUUAGGUUACUGUGCAAAAGUAACUUUGGGUAACUUCAAGUCCCGUUUGAGCCCCAACAUUCCCACAAGAAGAAAAUUCCAGCAAAUCUCUGUCUUGUAUUGUAUUUCCUACAUGAUUCAACAGAAGAGAUGCUGAUGAUUUGACCAAAACAAUCAGCGAGACAAAGUACAACAUGACAUA